UUGGCUCUGGUUUCUGUUUCUUCUCUAUAAGAAAUGCUUCUGUCAAUAACUCCUAGUAGUAGUAAGAAGGUGAUAGCGAUAGUAGUUUUGCACAAGAGACUUGAAGUUGAUAGGGGAUGAUGAUGCAGAUUAGUGAGGGCCUGGAGACCCCAAUUUGUCUUGGGAGCCGGGCAUGUGUAUUAAAUCUUUGCUUACUAAGCUGUUUCAUGGCAUUUCGGUGCUUCUUCCGCUCGAGCUGUGGUUUUUGUUGUUUGGUCCACAUCAGCGUAAGCAUGCGACAUGUUCUGUUUACCAGAAGCUGUCGAUUUGUUAACACAGUAGAGUUCAGACAAUAUUUCAUCCGUAAGAAAAGGUAAAGUAUCAUCCACGGGCUCCUCGGAAAAUUUUGUUAACCCAGCAAGUUCAUGCUUCCAUUUUACAGAGUUUAAACCUAGUAAGAGCAAAACCAUCCACUACUACGCCGCCCCUCUUACGUAUUGUAUUUCGUUCUUCGUUGAUCAAUAAAUCAAGUAUAUAAUCGACUACUUCCGUCCUCCGUGCAUAAAAUAAGCCAAAACGUUGUUGCUGCCCUUAAACACAUCGUGAUCAAAAAAAGCAUCAAUUUAACAAAAU
rnacentral:lncRNA from 1 species